AAUCAUAUACAGAGAUGAAAUAGUGCAGUAAGACCACACUUAUUUGCAUUAAUUAUAGCAUUUAUUUGAAUUAAUUAUCGAUUGUUUGAUCGAGAGAGAAAGAUGAAAGCUAUGUGUGUGUGUGUGUGUGUGUGUGUGUGUGUGUGUGUGAAUUACCUGUGUCUGUGCAUCUCUAUCUACAAACACUAAAGUUGUUAAUUUAGUUACUUAGAGAUUUUACCUCUUCGUUGCUGAGGAAUAUAAUGUAGUGAUCCAGUAUCUAAGUGGGUUUAUUAAUAAAAAUCGAGGGGCAGCAUUGACAAUAUUAUGUUGGCCUUCUCCUGAAUGUUUCUGUGUGCGCAGCGGGAUCUCUGAUCUCUCUCUCUCUGUGCGAGUGGUGUGUGUGUGUGUGUGUGUGUGCGUUUGUGUGUGUCAAUUAAAGCAGAGCAUUAAUAUAGAACAGUGAUUAAACUGACUUGGAACGUCCUGUGCAUUAAACGGUUUUAAUGCAUACCUGCCAGCCAAUCAGAAUCAAGAAUUCCAACAGACCAUGGAAUAAUAGCAGUGAACCCAAUGGCACAGGAAACCCUGCAUGCAAACCAGAAGUCUGCUACAGGAGACAACUUUCCUCUUUCUGCAGCCUCACUUCUCCCCUCUAUACAGAAUGUGUGAUCCCAUCAAACACAGAAAGAGAAAGAGUGAUCCGUGCCAGAUUCCAGGGAGCGGCUCUGUCUGAAACACAGACCUUCACGAGCACUGGCUGCAUGUACAAAGUAUAUGCACUUAUGCUUUAUUUAUUACGUUCAUUAUGAGUGAACAUCCUAUGUGAUUCAUUGGUCAUACUGUAGGUCUCCUCACAUGGUUCUGUUUUGUGAUGAGGUCUAUAUAGAUUCUUUUGGAAGGCUAAGAUAAUGUAUUUUAGGCUCGGUGGCUUGUACAGUAUCAGUCGUAGGUUACAUUAUGGGCUACUGGCUAAAAUUAUGAACCUCAUUAUCAUCAUGCUUCGAGCACUUAUCUUUAAUCAAUUCUCCCCGAGCUAAUAAAAACACUGUCAGGUUUUCA
ensembl:lncRNA